rnacentral:lncRNA from 1 species
CUCUUUGAAGAGCUAUGUUUGGUUUUCUCUUUGAUUUUAUAGUGUAUUCAAGCUAUGUUUAGAUAAGCUUCUCUCUACACAAGUAAUUACUUAAAUUAAUUUUAAUAAUAUAUCCUAAAGUAUUUCCUUUAUAAAUAAUUUUUGAAUUACAAUGUCAUGAGGGGGCAAAAUUGAGACAUAUGCAGGCAAGGGAGAGAAAUAAAGAAUGUCCACGUGCUUCUGCCCUUUCCAAUGCUUUACUCACUCAAAUCACUCAAUAUAAUUUCACUCUAUAGGUUCUUAAUCAAGAAAAUGACAAUCAUUUAUGCCAAGCACUGCAAUAGACAUAAUCAAUUCACAGCAAAUAAUUCUAGAUUAAUUCUAAGCACUGCAAAACACAAUAAUGACAGGCCAAUGACAGACAUUAUCCUCUGCUUAUUAAGUUCAAAAGUCUUAAACUUUAGGCUGUAAGUCCAGCAGAUGCACACUCACUCAGACCACGUGAUCAGGUCCAGAACCAAGGCAGGCUUUUCCUGGUGUGGUGUGNACCACUCUCACUGCGGUAGAGUUUGAGAGUGGUGAGGAUCACACAGAGGAUCAGGAAAAUGAUGACCAACGAUGGGAUGUCAGUCCAGGUCCUCAUCAGGCUCUUCAGCUCCAGUGCGAUGGGAUGUCAGUCCAGGUCCUCAUUAGGCUCUUCAGCUCCAGUGCACUCUUGUUUGGGCUGGCUGAAUCCCUGUUCAUCAGCUCUAUUAUUUAUACUAAAUUUGGGGCUUUUGACCCUUUUUUCAAUCCUUAUCAGCUACCACUGGAUUUCUUCAUGACAUCAUUUACCCUGGGAUCAGAAACAUCUGGUCUGAUGGUAUUCACCCUGAUCUUCUCACCUUUCCCUCUUAUCAGGAGAGGACAGCCUGCCAGAGGCUUCACUCUGCUUAUCAAGGUGAGGGGAAGUAACUUGUCUGAGGCCAUACUGGAGGGCUCUGGUAGGUGCGUCUGAUGAGACUGGAGUUUUCAAACUGGAGUUUUUUAAAAUGGAGUUGCUUGGGCUCAGGCCUAAGGCCAUUGUCACAUAUAGUUGUCUCAGAUUUCCUCAUUUAUGCUUCUCCUAGGUUACUGAUUCAGUUCCAUAAUUUCACAUUAAAAAUAAAUAUCAGCAAGGUGUGAUGGUGCCCAACUAUAAUCUCAGUGACUUUGGAGCCUGAGGCAGGAAGAUCUCAAGUUCCAGACCAGCUUGGGAAACUUAGUGAGACCCUGUCUCAAAAAUUUAAAAAAGGUUAGUUAAGUGAUUAUUUAUCCCUGGCUAAAAUCUUCAGUACAAAACACACACACACACACACACACACACACACACCACACCGUUUUAGUCAGCUUUUUUGUUGCUGUGACUAAAAGCCCCAACAAGAGCAAUUUUACAGGAGGAAAUAUUUAUUUGGGGCUCACAGUUUCUGAGAUCUCAGUCCACAGACAGCUGGCUCCAUUCUUUAGGGCUUCAGGUGAGGCAGAACAUCAUGGUGGAAGCCUGUGGCAUAGGCAAGCAGCUCACAGGAGGAUCAUGAAAUAGAGAAAGAAUUCAUUCACAGAUACAAAAUAUAUGUGCCAAAGGAACGCCCUCAAGGAACUAUCUCCUCCAGCCACACCCUAUCCACCUUCAGUUACCACACAAGUAGUCCCUUCAGGAGAUUGAUUCACUGAUUGGUUGAGGCUGUCAUAACCCAAUCAUCUGUAGUCUAAACCUUCUUGAAUUGUCUCACACAUGAGCUUUUGGAGGACACCUCACAUCCAAAUCUUAACACCCCCCCAAAGAAUAUGAGUUAAUUGUAGUUGAUUAGAAGUUGUUUUUUGUAGCAACUAACACAGUAACUUUGUUAUUGACAUACAAGUGCUAAAUUACACAGAUGAAUUUGAAUUUGUGGUUUAAAGAGAGAGGAGGAAAUAUGGGGUAGGAAGGAUACUAGAAUGAAUCAGAUAUUUUUACCUUAUAUACAUAUGUAAUUAUAUGAUUGGUGGAAUUCUACACCAUGUACAAUCAGAAUUAGAAAUUAUACUCCAUCUAUAUAUGAUAUUUCAAAGUGCAUUCUACUGUCAUAUAUAACUAAUUAGAACAAAUAAAGAUAAAUUAAAAAUAAAAUAAUAAUAAUAUAACAAACUAGAAUGGAUCUCAAAUCUCAAAUCUUAGCACCAGGCAGUUAGAGCUAAUGCAUCUGUUAAAGAUUUACGUUUGCAGAUUAUCUGUUAGUAAGUAAACUAGUUUCUUCUGUGAUGAUCUAGUUUAUUAAAAACUUGUAGAACAUUACUUUUUCCUACUAUGCAAAUUCCCAUUUAACUUAACUACAGAUAAUUUGACACAAUAGAAUGUUAAAUAUCCUUUUAUCACCAUAGGAAGAGAUGUUUUUAUCGCCACAGGUAGUAAAAGACAGUUCAUUGCCAAAAACCAGAUACAAUUUNNNNNNNNNNNNNNNNNNNNNNNNNNNUAGAAUGAAUCAGAUAUUUUUACCUUAUAUACAUAUGUAAUUAUAUGAUUGGUGGAAUUCUACACCAUGUACAAUCAGAAUUAGAAAUUAUACUCCAUCUAUAUAUGAUAUUUCAAAGUGCAUUCUACUGUCAUAUAUAACUAAUUAGAACAAAUAAAGAUAAAUUAAAAAUAAAAUAAUAAUAAUAAUAUAACAAACUAGAAUGGAUCUCAAAUCUCAAAUCUUAGCACCAGGCAGUUAGAGCUAAUGCAUCUGUUAAAGAUUUACGUUUGCAGAUUAUCUGUUAGUAAGUAAACUAGUUUCUUCUGUGAUGAUCUAGUUUAUUAAAAACUUGUAGAACAUUACUUUUUCCUACUAUGCAAAUUCCCAUUUAACUUAACUACAGAUAAUUUGACACAAUAGAAUGUUAAAUAUCCUUUUAUCACCAUAGGAAGAGAUGUUUUUAUCGCCACAGGUAGUAAAAGACAGUCAUUGCCAAAAACCAGAUACAAUUUCUUGCAUCUAAUUUGUUAGAAAACCUAUUUUAAAAUGCAUUUAAAUAAAGAAAAUAGGCUCAUAUUCUUCAAGGCAGAACAAUGCCAAUUUUCAAGUAUACUUUGAGAACCAAAUUUUUCAUAAGAUUGCAAAAGGCAAAUGAGAAUUGCAAUUUUCAGCUAAUGAAAGAGAACAAAGAAAAAAAUCAACUAAAACUACUUUCAUCAUUAAAAUUAAGUAGAAUGUGGAAAAUAUUUAAAUAGUAUAAAUGCUCAAACCAAAUAAUAUAUUUAAAAUGUCUUCAGUUUAGUUUUAUCAAGUUUUCAGUGCUAAACCUUGAUAUUUUAAAUAGAUUUGUAUUCCUUGUGAAAACUUUCAGAAUAUAAUGGACUACAGACUUACAUUUGUUGGGUUUUGACAAGAUCCAGGAUUAUACUAGAAUUCUUAUCCUCUAAUCCUUAACUCUACAGGAUCACCAUAAUUUUAAGGUGCACAACCUGGGAUAUAGUUCAAUUUGUUUGCCUAAACUCCAACAGGUACCAAGUGUGGAUUUCAAAUUUUCUCUCUCAAUCAUAAUCUUAAACUUUUGAUCUAACAUUUAUAAAUCUGAUCCAUGCUAAUUUGAGGAACUCUCUUAUCUAUCCUUUCAAGAUACAUAUCCAAUGUAGUAUAAUGGUGGAAUUUUACUGAAUAGAAAGGAGAAAAGAUUUGGGGUAUCAGCUGUCUCUCUCAGAUUUCUUUUGCUUUCCCUGUCUUCUGACCUAUAUUACAUCUUCCUUCAGUUGUUACAGGAAAAGGACAGGUUAGCAAAAAGGGAGAAGAUAAAAUCAACACUGUACUAUUAGAAUUUAUUAAUCUUUAUUAUUUUAUAGAUUUAUAGAUAAAUUUGUUUGAUAGUUUCAAAACUCUCACUGUUGCUGAUACUAGAGACAGAGCAAUUAAAACAGCAGCCCAUAACCCCAUGCCCCUAUAAGGUUUACAUAUUGGUGAACAUCAUAGCUUUUAGCAUUUCUUUUCCUACUAAAAAUUCUGUUGUAAACAUUUCUUUUUAACUUCAUGUAAAAAUUGAAGGUGUCUAUUUAGAAGAGUUUGUGCCUUGGCCUAAGAUUCCAUUAAAUUCUGCAGGGCCUAUGUUAUGAAAACAAAAAGUCUGAAAAUGCUUUUCAAAAGGUGAUUGUUUUUAGACAAAACCACUAGUAGUAUUUUACCUGCCAAUUCUUUUCUGGAAAAAUUCUUCUUCUUUGUCUUGAGAAUUGGUGACAUUGACCUGUGAUAAUAUCUUUAGGACAGAGUAUUUCUUUGGGCAGUCUUAAAUUAUAUAGUUAUAUUCAUAGGCAUCUUAUAAAUUGAAUAGUUUACCCAACUAAGUAGUUCAGUGUCUAACUCAACCUUUCAUCGCUGUGACUAAAAUAUUUGAGAAGAACAACACAGAGAAGGAAAAGUUUAGUUUGGUUCAGGGUUUCAGAGGCCUCAGUGUGUAAUCAGCUGACCCAUUGUUCUGGUCUGAGGUGAGGCAGAAAACCGUGGCCAAAGAGUGUGGAGACAGAAAGCUGUAAGGUUAUGGCAGUCAGAAAAGAAAGAGAGAAAGAAAGAGAGAGGGAAGCCAGGAACAAUAUUUAAUAGACCAUCAUCAUGCACUCAAUGAUCUAUUUCCUCUGGCCACACCUCACCUGCCUACAGUUAACUACCCAGUAAUUCAUUCAAAUUAUUAAUACUCCAAGUGAAUUAAUCCACUUGAUGAGGUUUUUACCUCUGAACAUUACUGCCCUGUCUAACCCAUGAGUUUUCCAGGGACAUUCUUAGAUCUAAACCACAACAGUCAAUAAUGUUGUUGAAUGUGUUUCUGUACUUUCAUUGAUGGUUGAUUAUUUAUUUACAUAAUUACAACAUAGUUAGUUAUCACUUAAAUUUCAACUUGUAUUUAUAACAGAAAAGCAAGGUUAACAUGUUCAUCAAGACUAUUGUAUACUCUUUAAAAAUCAGAAAUUUUUGGCAAUGUCAUAAUCAAUAAUUAAGCAAAGGUGCUUAGUAAAAGAAAUACUUAGCAAAAGAAAUACAAACUGUACAAAAGAUUCAAAAUAUUUUCCCCAGAUUUAUAUUUUUCUUUUAGAAUGAACUAGUGUUUUUCUACGAUUGACACAUGUUAAAAUAGAAAUUCAAAAGUUAUUUAAAAUUAAAAAGUAUUCCAUAAUUUAAUAAUCAAAUAUAACCAUUCUCAACAUCAGUUAGACCUCUUCCCAAAUAAAUAUCAUAUCUAUCCCUAUAUGCACAUAGAAACAAAAAUGGGUAGCUGUGUCAGACUCAUUAAAUUGUGUGCAUAAAAUAAGUAGUUUUAUGCAUAUUAAAUAUAUAUCAAUAUAAUAUGGGCUGGGGAUGUGGCUCAAAUGGUAGCGCGCUCGCCUGGCAUGCGUGCGGCCUGGGUUCGAUCCUCAGCACCACAUACAAACAAAGAUGUUGUGUCUGCCGAUAACUAAAAAUAAAUAUUAAAAAAA